rnacentral:rRNA from 1 species
GAUGAACGCUAGCGGUAGGCUUAACACAUGCAAGUCGAGGGGUAACAGGGUAGCAAUACUGCUGACGACCGGCGCACGGGUGAGUAACGCGUAUGCAAUCUGCCUUUAACUGGAGCAUAGCUUCGAGAAAUCGGAAUUAAUACUCCAUAAUAUUAACGAAUCGCAUGGUUUGUUAAUUAAAGCUCUGGCGGUUAAAGAUGAGCAUGCGUGACAUUAGUUUGUUGGUGAGGUAACGGCUCACCAAGACUACGAUGUCUAGGGGGUCUGAGAGGAUGGUCCCCCACACUGGUACUGAGACACGGACCAGACUCCUACGGGAGGCAGCAGUGAGGAAUAUUGGUCAAUGGCGCAAGCUGAACCAGCCAUACCGCGUGAAGGAUGAAGGCUCUAGUAGUUGUAAA